rnacentral:lncRNA from 1 species
CGGAAGCCUCAGGAGCAGAUGCAAUCAACUGGAAGAAAGGUUUUCUGCUGUUAGACAAGACAACAGGAAAUUUGGAUGCUUCAUUCCACACCAAAUGAAUCAGGACCUCCAGGGUUUCUAAUUGCUUUUCAUUCAUUGGAGAUGACAGUUCCAAAUAUAUUCACCUUUGUAAAUGAAGAGGAUAGAAUUUUAAUCAGACGAAUGAGAAAAUAAAAGUGCUAUGAUUAGAAAAACUUGAGGAUUAUUCUAACCAGCAAGCGAAGAUCUCUUAAAAUCUUCAGAGGAAUUGCAGAAUUAAAAAAAAUAUAUGUGGCAAGAACUCGAUUGGAUAGAUAAAUACAGGUAAUAGAUAUCUUUGAGGUAAAAUAGAACCUCAAUUUAAAUAGAUUAAUGUAAGAAUUUUAAAAAUGCUGAUGAACUUGAUAUAUUACAAUAAUCCUUUCUGGGCUGAAGGAAAUAGGAAUAAAUAGGAGCAAGCCACAGUGAAAAAAACAUACAAUCUGUCUCACUGGGUGAGAGGGUUGUCCUGAAAACAUCCGACGUCUGGAAUGCCCUUGUCUCCAAGUAUGCAAGUCCUCCAAACACCCUGAGGCUAAUAUAAUGCCAACAAGUAAAUGGACUUUGUUUAUAUACAUGGGAACUUUUUAAGAAAUCAAAACAUUAAAAUUCUUGAAAGCAGUAUGACUGAUCAAUAACUAAAUCUAUCCAUAACUGAGAAUUUGCACAACCUGGGCAACAAGCAUUUUCCAGGAAUAAAUUGCUGUUCAUCCAUAGUGUGUAAAUGACUCUUCCAAAACAGUUUUAAGAGAUGUCACCAUUUUAUCUUAUUUUUUUUCUUCCUGUUCCAUCUUCCACUGUCUCAAACUCUCUUUACUUCGUUCCUCAGGAACAGCUUUCAUCUGCUCUUAUUUCCUUUAAAUAUGUGAUAAUCUUUGCUCUUUGACUCUAUUUUCCUAAGGUAUGGUUGUUCUAAUUAAUUUUACCUCAGCUGACAUUAGGAGCAUUGUAAAAAUUAAUAACAAUCUUACACAAGAAUCUUUCUUAAUACUAUGAAAUGUAAUCAGGUUUACCAUUUUUAUAAAUGUCUUUGUUUAGAGUAAAACAGGUGAUGAUAUGGCUUUAUCAUCAAAGGAUUCAUCUCAAUGCUAACCUAAAAAGAGAGGAAAUUAGUUCUGAUAUAGGAUCCAAACACAAUUAAGCAUUUUAACUCAUGCAUAUAACAAUCUCUUUAUCUCAGUCAACUGCUACUCUUCUGUUAUACAAUGAAUUUCCUUCUUUCAAUUAUUUUCUAAGCAGCAUUCUAUUUUUGGCAUAAAAUAUUGAUUUCUGUAAACAAAAAUUCAUGAACGUACAACAUAAGCAUGAAGACUUUAGAUUUAUGUAUGAUUUCUGAGCAGGGGCUGUUAAUUUUGGUUGACUUUGAGAGAACAUUUGAAUUGAUAAGUAUUAACUAUUUUUAAAUCAGUAGAGACUGAGUUAUAUACAUAUAGAUGUGUAUAUGCAUAUGUAUGUAUGUAUUUUUCUUCUUUUUUUUAAAUAAUAGGAGUAAUGGGGCAAGAUAAACUCGUAUAGACUAAAGAAAAUAAACUUGUAUAGACUAAAGAAAAUAAGUUGGCACAUUUGAAUUGUAGUAUACAAAAGUACAACCUAUUAUAAAUGUAUAUAUGUAUUAAGUAUGAUGAGUAAUUACUCCUGUAAUAACUAUGUCUCCGAAAAUCCUUCCUGGAAAAUUGUUUCCUCCUAAAUGUGCUGCUGCAAUUAACUUGUAUUUUCCUAUUGAAACACACACUAUUGCAAUAUGCUAUGUUGCUUCCUUGCUUGAGUACACGUUAUUUGAGUAAACUUUGUGACAGCAGGGAGGGACCACACCUCUCUUUUUCUCAUUCUUUUUUCUCCAACACCUUGUCUAAUAUAUGAACAGAGUUUUGGCUUCAUAAAUACCUAUUGAAAUAAAUGAGAGGCAUAUUUUAGGCCCUUGUCUUUCCUGCGACGUCAUGCUCAACCUCAAUGCCAGUAAUCUGGUUCAUUAUUUUUUGUUAUCUUUUUUUCUAACAGUGGAAUAAGUGUUGCAGUGAUUUUAUAUUAUUAUGUCCUAUGUUAUUGACCCUGACACUUCCAUUGGAUACCUUAACACCAUCUGUUCUAUGCAUCACUGCAGAGAAAGGUUGAUAAAAGAUUGAUACCUGUCAUCUUAGGAAGUCAUCUGUGCACUAGUUAAAGCAAUUAUAGGUGGGAUGACAGUCUCUGAAAAAUGUCCAUUUUCCUUUUGUAAAGUAAUUCUGUUGUUUAUGUCAUGUCUCCAUUGAUGAGCCCAUUGUCUCUCAAACUAUUCACUUGCCACUUUCUAAUUUUAUAAUCUCCACACCUUUGGAAUUUGCCAAUACAACAGAGCAGUAGACAAUUUUCUUGGACUUCAUGCUUGAUCUGCUUCAAUCUAUACUAUUUGUUAUAAACCUUCAUGACUGACAGAUCAGACCUAUCAUCUUGGAUCCUCUGUAGUGGCAUAAUUUUGUCUUUGACAGAUUAUAACUUAAAAUUGCUGAGAAUACUCUGUCAACUUUAAAAUGUAUCUGUAAUAUUUACAAGUAUAUCAUUCGUCUUAAGUACUACAAAAUACCUUCCCCUUAUGAGAGUCAGUUAACUAUUUUUAACUAGUUGCAUUAAAAAGUGAAAACUAUUUUUCAUUUCUAAAUAUGCUAUUCUCUUCUAAGUAAAUUAGGAUAAAGUACUUUCUAUUGAAAAUCAAACUUAUAAAUCUCUUAUCUUCAAACUUACUAUAUACUUGUGAGUUUUUUAUGUUAGGGAGUGCUUGAGUACAAUGGGAGAUCAAUAUAAAACCUCAUUUAAGAAACAUUUUUGCAUCUAAAAUCAUGCCUAAUAGAAAGCUGAGGCAGUAGAACUGGUGAGCGUUCCUGAUAAAAUUCUUCUUUAUGAGUAAAAAAAG